UAUAAUUGUACACACAUACAAACACAACCCCAGCUAACAGAAAAAUCAUUUCCCCUCAGUCUUGUCUGCAUUUCCUUUUCCCCUAUAAAAUACCAUUUUCGUCUCUCAGCCACAGCGUAGCUCCCUUUUCUGAUAUGGACACAUUUGAAGUGCUGAGCUGCAUGCACAACCACAAAAACGCAGCAUUUCCCUGUUUCUUUUUUCUUGUUCGCAGUGUAUUUUUCAUUCCUCACUUCUUCUAAAUGGCAUGAAUUUUGAAUUUUCCAGGCAAGCGUACAGUCAAACAGUCAAACUGUGUUCUUUGUGAUAACCUGAAGGCACAUUUCUGAGUCAACAUGAAAUCUGGGUUUGUGUUUCUGCUACAUUCUAUUAUUAUCACCCCACAAACAGUCAUGAGGGAGUCACUGCAACGUUCUUUAUAAUUUGACACUCGCUGUGACUUUAUGAGCCACAAUUCUGUUGACUUUCAAUUUGAUUAUGAUUUUUUUCAAAGCCCCUUUAGUUUUUUUUUUGUUUUUGGUGUCCAGAGACUGGUGGCCUUUGUGCAGAAAGCUAGAAUUGAAAUUAUUUAAUUUUUUUGUGGUCCCAUGUGGACUGCACCUGAUAAAAGCAGUUUCGAGACUAGCUGAAUGAACAGACACCUUUGGUGUUCUGAUGACAAUGGGCUGUUAAAUAAGUAAUUGAUGAGAAUAAUAAGAAAAAAAUUAUUCCUCCACCUUUGGCUAGCUUUUGAUUUAAAUGUUGCCAAGAUUUUGUGGUGAAAUAGUCACAAUUUUCUUUUAUAAAUGUACAAAAAAAAAAAGACAAUUCUCAGAACCUUUUCAUUUUUAAAAUAAUUGAAAAGCCCGAAAUGUUUUCAGUGGAUGCCAAACGGAGUUAACUUAGUAGAAUGCAGUAAUUGAGCAAUAGUCCAAAUUAUAAAUGUCCUCUACAGAAGACAAAAUUGCAUUGCUGGUAGUCAGUUAAUUUAUAAGAGAAGUGCUUCACAAUGAAGUCCAAUCAUGGGUUUUGCUUGGCUUAAUCUAUAUCUUUACUAACCAGUGCUUGUUUUAAGCUUUUGAUGAUUAUUGUUGAAAAAAAACAGCAGAAAACAAUAACAAAUAUAAUUGUCAUUUAAGGAUAAUCGUCUGAGUGCAUUUUUCUUUCAGACUUCUAUGUUUUAAAAAAGCUUUUACGUAUCGAAUUUAAAUAUGAUCUAGUGAUCUAAACAAUGUUUGAGUUCUUUACUUUUACGAAUACAGGUAGGUGUUAACUCUUCACACAUUUCUAGGUUUCUGACAGUUUGUUGUCCCCUGUUGUUCCUCCCGCUUUUACUUUGCUCCUAAAUUACCUUUGAUAAGAUUUUCCUCUUUGAUGUUUAGGAUUUGUAUUCUUGUCAACAUUUGUGUCACGGUGCCUGUCAGUUCACCUCCCCCCCUCCUACAGCUCUCACCACCUUGCUGAUUGGAACCAGCUGAUCCUCAUCUUCUCAUCAUCCUGCCGGUCUUCAUAAGGGAGCUCUCACCAGAAUUCUACGCCAGUUUGUUAUACUCACUCCGGUUCCUACCUUGGUCACGCUGGUUCCUCCCCUCCACGCUGGUCCUGCCGUCCUCGGCAUCCACGCCUCGUUCCAAGCUGGUUUCCGCCGUCCUCGGCGUCCACGCCUUACCUCAAGCCGGUCCCGCUGUCCUCAGCGCCCAAGCCUCGCUCCCUCUGGAUCCACAGUUCGACGCGUCUUCGUGUCGCCCCCUCCCCUUCAUCUGCAUCAGCUCAAAGGAAACACCAAGUUCAAUCCACGGAGGAAAUACGUCCACAUCCCCUCAGAAACUUAUUUACCUCUGGUAAAAUAAAUCCAUUUAAAGUCA